GUGGAUUAGAUACCCUAGUAGUCCACGCCCUAAACGAUGUCAACUGGUUGUUGGGAGAUUUAUUCUCUUAGUAACGAAGCUAACGCGUGAAGUUGACCGCCUGGGGAGUACGGUCGCAAGAUUAAAACUCAAAGGAAUUGACGGGGGCCCGCACAAGCGGUGGAUGAUGUGGAUUAAUUCGAUGCAACGCGAAAAACCUUACCUACGCUUGACAUGUCCCAAAGUUGCCAGAGAUGGCUUCGUGCUCGAAAGAGAAUGGGAACACAGGUGCUGCACGGCCGUCGACAACU
rnacentral:rRNA from 1 species